AUUAUAAAUUUUAAUCCAACAUCGAGGUCGCGAACUUCUUUAUUGAUAUGGACUCUCCAAAGAAAUUACGCUGUUAUCCCUAAGGUAAUUUAAUCUUAUAAUCACUAAUAAUGGAUCAAUAAAACAAUAAUUAUUGAAAUAAAAAAGAAAAAGUUAAUUUAAUUUUUCUAUCACCCCAACAAAAUAAAUUAAAUAUUCAAUAAAAUUUAAUUCCUAACAUAUAAUUAAAUAAAUAAAAUAUUAAACUCUAUAGGGUCUUCUCGUCUUUAAACAAAAUUUAAGCUUUUUAACUUAAAAAUAAAAUUGUAAUAAAAAUUACAUAAAGACAGAAUUUUUCUCAUUCCACCAUUCAUUCCAGUUCCUAAUUAAGAAACUAAUUAUUAUGCUACCUUGGCACAGUCAAAAUACUGCGGCCAUUAAAAUUUUUCGUUGGGCAGGUCAAACUUUAAAUCAUAAUCAAAAAGCG
rnacentral:rRNA from 1 species